CUGACAGCGGUCACCCGGGGCUCGUUAACCUGUGCCGUAUUCAGCCAAUCAACAGGCUCGGGAGGAGGUGGGGAGGUUGUCGUUUGAGACGUUCCAGAUGGAGGUGGCGGCUUCCUCGUUUCCACUUGACACCCUGGCUUUUCCCACCGUGGCCCAGUGAGUCAUCGAACCUGCCUGACGUGUUGCUAGGCAAAACCAUCUCGGGUGCUGAAUUUUCCAGAAUUCCAUGGGACUCCCGAUGGAAAUGAGCUCCGGAACUAUAAUCUGACACAGAGCUUUUCUCUUCUCAAAUGUAACCUUUUCCGUACACGGUCCCUGACAAAUCAACAAAUCAACCUAACCUAACCUAACAAGGUACAAAUACUUUGUUGCUCUACUUAACAUUCCCUGCCAGCUGUUUUACGGCAUUUUCACUGAGCUUUCAACACCUCCAGAAUAUUGUGCCCUGUGACACUAUGAGCACCAAACCUACCAAAAGGAGUAGACUCUCUUCGUUCACCAGAAAAAAGGUUUUCUACCUUUUUCUGUUUGUUCCAG